rnacentral:snRNA from 21 species
CAGGAGAGGAUGGACGAGGUGCCGAGCGCGGGUGCAACCAGCGGCACACGGCCAAGUGAGGUGGCGGCGUCGUCUUCGACGAGACGAGCGACGUCCUUUUCGACCUGGCCCAUGUAGGACGUGGAGUUUUCGUCGACAGCGACGGCGCCAAGGUGCAGGCAGCAAAUCGACACUGCCAGCGAGAGCGAGAGCGGCAGCCCCUUCAACGUCGUCGAGAUAAAGUUGUCCA